rnacentral:ncRNA from 1 species
CAUAAAGAGAGAUGGAGGGACAGGCCCUAUGAUAUCUCAGCAACCUACUAUUAUAUUUAAUGUGUGGUGCUAAGUCCUGAUAGAU